rnacentral:rRNA from 1 species
UACGGGGGGGUAAGCGUUGUUCGGAAUUACUGGGCGUAAAGGGCUCGUAGGCGGCCAACUAAGUCAGACGUGAAAUCCCUCAGCUUAACUGGGGAACUGCGUCUGAUACUGGAUGGCUUGGAUCCGGGAGAGGGAUGCGGAAUUCCAGGUGUAGCGGUGGAAAUGCGUAGAUAUCUGGAGGAACACCAGUGGCGAAGGCGGCAUCCUGGACCGAGAUUGACGCUGAGGCGCGAAAGCUAGGGGAGCAAACGGGG